rnacentral:rRNA from 1 species
CUGGCUCAGGAUGAACGCUAGCUACAGGCUUAACACAUGCAAGUCGAGGGGCAGCAUGUAGGUUGCUUGCAACCUAUGAUGGCGACCGGCGCACGGGUGCGUAACGCGUAUCCAACCUUCCCCGCAGUAGGGUGCAGCCCGUUGAAAGACGGAUUAAUCCCCUAUGUUGUCCAUUGACGGCAUCCGAUUUGGACGAAAGAUUUCAUCGCUGCGGGAUGGGGAUGCGUAGGAUUAGGUAGUCGGCGGGGUAACGGCCCACCGAGCCGUCGAUCCUUAGGGGUUCUGAGAGGAAGGUCCCCCACACUGGAACUGAGACACGGUCCAGACUCCUACGGGAGGCAGCAGUGAGGAAUAUUGGUCAAUGGAGGCAACUCUGAACCAGCCAAGUAGCGUGCAGGACGACGGCCCUACGGGUUGUAAACUGCUUUUAUGCGGGGAUAAACGGCAUUACGUGUAGUGCUUUGCAGGUACCGCAUGAAUAAGGACCGGCUAAUUCCGUGCCAGCAGCCGC